UACGUAGGGGGCAAGCGUUGUCCGGAAUCAUUGGGCGUAAAGAGCGUGUAGGCGGCUCGGUAAGUCCGCUGUAAAAGUCCAGGGCUCAACCCUGGAAAGCCGGUGGAAACUGUCGAGCUAGAGUCCGGAAGAGGCGAGUGGAAUUCCUGGUGUAGCGGUGAAAUGCGCAGAUAUCAGGAGGAACACCAAUGGCGAAGGCAGCUCGCUGGGACGGUACUGACGCUGAGACGCGAAAGCGUGGGGAGCAAACAGG
rnacentral:rRNA from 1 species